UACGGAGGAUCCGAGCGUUAUCCGGAUUUAUUGGGUUUAAAGGGUGCGUAGGCGGCCUGUUAAGUCAGGGGUGAAAGACGGUAGCUCAACUAUCGCAGUGCCCUUGAUACUGAUGGGCUUGAAUGUACUAGAGGUAGGCGGAAUGUGACAAGUAGCGGUGAAAUGCAUAGAUAUGUCACAGAACACCGAUUGCGAAGGCAGCUUACUAUGGUAUUAUUGACGCUGAGGCACGAAAGCGUGGGGAUCAAACAGG
rnacentral:rRNA from 1 species